rnacentral:sRNA from 1 species
AUGUUCCAAGUGUCCACUCCGGGUCCUGCGCACUGUCCACGCCCACCUGACGACGCAUCGCUGCGUUUCGUCGCC